UACGUAGGGGGCAAGCGUUGUCCGGAAUUAUUGGGCGUAAAGAGCGCGUAGGCGGUCCGAUAAGUCGGCUGUGAAAGUCAGGGGCUCAACCCUUGAAAGCCGGCCGAUACUGUCGGACUAGAGUCCGGAAGAGGCAAGUGGAAUUCCUGGUGUAGAGGUGAAAUUCGUAGAUAUCAGGAGGAACACCAGUGGCGAAGGCGGCUUCCUGGACACUAACUGACGCUGAGACGCGAAAGCGUGGGGAGCAAACAGG
rnacentral:rRNA from 1 species